rnacentral:rRNA from 1 species
UACGUAGGUGGCGAGCGUUGUCCGGAUUUACUGGGCGUAAAGAGCGCGCAGGCGGUCGUUCAAGUCGCGUGUGAAAGCCCCCGGCUCAACUGGGGAGGGUCACGCGAUACUGUUCGACUUGAAGGCAGGAGAGGGAAGUGGAAUUCCCGGUGUAGUGGUGAAAUGCGUAGAGAUGAGGAGGAACACCAGUGGCGAAGGCGGCCACCUGGACAGUAACUGACGCUGAGGCGCGAAAGCGUGGGUAGCAAACAGG